rnacentral:tRNA from 1 species
GCAGUGGUGGUUCAGUUGUAGAAUUCUCACCUCCCAUGCAGCAGACCUGGGUUCAAUUCCCAGCCAAUACA